rnacentral:rRNA from 1 species
GACGAACGCUGGCGGCGUGCCUAAUACAUGCAAGUUGAGCGCUGAAGGUUGGUACUUGUUCCAACUGGAUGAGCAGCGAACGGGUGAGUAACGCGUGGGGAAUCUGCCUUUGAGCGGGGGACAACAUUUGGAAACGAAUGCUAAUACCGCAUAAAAACUUUAACCACAAGUUUUAAGUUUGAAAGAUGCACUUGCAUCACUCAAAGAUGAUCUCGCGUUGUAUUAGCUAGUUGGUGAGGUAAAGGCUCACCAAGGCGAUGAUACAUAGCCGACCUGAGAGGGUGGUCGGCCACAUUGGGAAUGAGACACGGCCCAAACUCCUACGGGAGGCAGCAGUAGGGAAUCUUCGGCAAUGGACGAAAGUCUGACCGAGCAACGCCGCGUGAGUGAAGAAGGGUUUCGGAUCGUAAAACUCUGUUGGUAGAGAAGAACGUUGGUGAGAGGGGAAAGCUCAUAAAGUGACGGUAACUACCCAGAAAGGGACGGCUAACUACGUG